ensembl:lncRNA
CCCCCAGACCCGGUAAUCUCCUUUUUACCCAGGAGUGAAGCCUGCCGCCAUAUUCUGCCCACAGACUGCUUUAUACCUCGGGGUGCACUCCAGGACCUUACUUCACGUGAGUAAGCUCCUCUAUCCAUUAAACCACCAAUGUCUCUGUUGCUGACCCUGGGCUCUCUCUUAGGUCUUGAAGCUGAGCAAGUAUGGGCCUUGUAGGCCUGUGGGGUGCAACCCAACACCACCACGGAGGAGAAAUAUGGGUCGUUACAAUAGGGGAGUCAGAGCACGGAGAGGUAAAUUUUGAGAGAGCAGAUGUGGCAAUCUGGAGCGUUGUAAUGUCCCAGGGGGCUCUGCAGGCCCAGGGGACAGGGUGAAGCAGGAGAGGGUACCGAUUGUGUGAUUCCCCUGGCACAUUUGCCUCUGGUUCUUCUGUUUGCUGUUUUGUCACAAAAUAACUUUCAAACUCUAGGUUAACAACAGCAGCAUUUGUGUCUUAGGUCUGGUUUGGAGGGAGUAAAGGGUUUCCCAGGUGGCCCAGGGAUAAAGAAUCUGCCUGCUGAUAAAGGAGAUGCAAGAGAUGUGGGUUUGAUCCCUGGGUUGGGAAGAUCCCCUUGAGAAGGAAAUUGCAACCCACUCCAGUAUUCUUGCCCAGAGAAUCCCGUGGACAGAGGAGCCUGGCGGGCUACAGUCCAUGAGGUUACAGAGUCAGACAGGACUGAGCAGGCAUGUUGUCGUUGUCAUUGGAGGGAACAAGCCUUUAUCAUCAGUGGUUCUGCUGCCCCUCAUCCAGCAUAUCCUUAAUGAUUCUCUCCUUUCUAUUCCUCUCCCAGUGGUAUGGAGAAGACAGUGUGCCUGUCUUCUCCAGACAGCAAAGGAACAAGACUAUUUUUGAAUCAUUCACUGCUAUGAAAGUAGUUCAGCAGAAGGACUGGUUGCUUUUAGGAUCCCCGUGUCCAGCACACCCCUCUUAUUUUUACAUGAACAUCUGCAUCUCUCCAGACUUGAGGAUGACUGUUCUGUGACUUUAGUUCUCCAAUGGCUUCACAAAAAGUCAUUAAUUUGCUGUCUGUCCAGCUUACUUCUUGUUGCAGAUAUGAAUGCUGCAGCUCUGAGAUCACAAGUAAGUGAUUUCAAGUAAUUGAAUUACUGAAGCAAUGUAGGUAAACUGAAUGAAGAUAACAAAGAAAACGUGGAAGAACUCUAAAGGACACAAGUUAAAAAAGCAUGUGAAAAUGAGAGGCUUAUUCUCUGAGAGGAAGAUUUUAACUUAGCUGAGCUUCCGGUGGCUGCAGACAUUCCUCAGCUUGUGGCUACGUCACUCCAGUCUUCAAGGAAGACUCCAAAAUUCAUUCUACAUAAACAAGGAAGAAACUGAACAAAGCACAUCACAGCUCAAAUGGUAUACAUUAUUCAGUUCUGAAAGUCUAUAAUUAAACUUUGAUGUCUCUUAACUUACGGGAAGAAUAUUUUGAUGGAUCUAUGAUUUUAAUUGAAUAAAUAUACUUUAUGGAAUGAAAUGAAA